GUGUAUUUUGUUGUUCUGAGUCGAGAUUGAUACAAGAUAUGAUUUCACGAGACACGAUAGUGUUCUAAAUGUGGAAAAUAUCUACCAAGAUAAUAAAAAGAACUCCAAUGCUGACAUGAGCUUGGAUAGAUAAUUAUUAAGAUGAACAUGCUCGUCUCGGCAGAAGCCGAAGGGGUCAUAGAAGUUCUAAAGAUGCCAGCAUGAUCGAAGGAGACAAGGAAUGCCGCACAAACACUUGAAAAUUGAAGUGGCUAAUCUGUAAUCAACGAAAUACGAUAAGAUUCCGCCUCUCAACUGUACCUAUACUAUAAAAGCGUGGACAAACGUGAAGUAUCUAAAUACAGAAUUCAAAAUGUUUAAGCUACUGAUCGUGACUACUCUACUAAUGGUAUUAAUUGGUAUGGUAGCAGCCUGCAGCUUCAGAGGCUGUUAUUGCAGUACCAAUGGAAUUUGCGAGCAUGGUAAAGUGUAUUGUCCUUACGAUUGUGAAAUGGAUGCGUUGAAGAUAAUGUGUUGCGACCCGGAAUAGGAAGCGUAGGAACAUUGUAGUAAGCACCUCCUUCCAUACAACAUACGCUUGUGUUAAUUAUACAUUAAAUGUAAAAAAUUAAAUAAAUCAUAAUGGUAAAUCA